rnacentral:misc_RNA from 1 species
CGGACUGCGGUGCCGCCUGCGCCGUUGCCGCGGCCAAACCGCCCGCAGCAGCUCCGAUAAUGAGACUGCGCCGCGUUGCCGAGCCAUUCUGGUCUGUCAUGACACCCUCCGGAAUUUUUGAAACCAUUUACUUCUGGGUUCUGAAAUAAGCCGCCAGAGCCGCAAUGUCACCUGCCUCGAGCCGUCCUGCGAUGGUUUGCAUCACGGGAUUGUCGCGCUGCUUGUCCUUGUAGGCGUUCAUCACGGCGAUGAACUGGUCUUCCGGCCAUCCCGUGAUUUUCGGAAUACCCUGAGCCGCGCCCGAAGCACGGUGACAGGUUACACAUUCCGUCGAUAAAUACUCUCCAAGUUCCCGG